GUGGGGAAUAUUGGACAAUGGGCGCAAGCCUGAUCCAGCCAUACCGCGUGGGUGAAGAAGGCCUUCGGGUUGUAAAGCCCUUUUGUUGGGAAAGAAAUCCUGUCGAUUAAUACUCGGUGGGGAUGACGGUACCCAAAGAAUAAGCACCGGCUAACUUCGUGCCAGCAGCCGCGGUAAUACGAAGGGUGCAAGCGUUACUCGGAAUUACUGGGCGUAAAGCGUGCGUAGGUGGUGGUUUAAGUCUGCUGUGAAAGCCCUGGGCUCAACCUGGGAAUUGCAGUGGAUACUGGAUCACUAGAGUGUGGUAGAGGGAUGCGGAAUUUCUGGUGUAGCAGUGAAAUGCGUAGAGAUCAGAAGGAACAUCCGUGGCGAAGGCGGCAUCCUGGGCCAACACUGACACUGAGGCACGAAAGCGUGGGGAGCAAACAGGAUUAGAAACCCGAGUAGUCC
rnacentral:rRNA from 1 species